rnacentral:rRNA from 1 species
CGGACGGGUGAGUAAUGUAUGGGAAACUGCCCGAUGGAGGGGGAUAACUACUGGAAACGGUAGCUAAUACCGCAUAACGUCGCAAGACCAAAGAGGGGGACCUUCGGGCCUCUUGCCAUCGGAUGUGCCCAGAUGGGAUUAGCUAGUAGGUGGGGUAACGGCUCACCUAGGCGACGAUCCCUAGCUGGUCUGAGAGGAUGACCAGCCACACUGGAACUGAGACACGGUCCAG